rnacentral:rRNA from 1 species
UACGAAGGGUGCAAGCGUUAAUCGGAAUUACUGGGCGUAAAGCGCGCGUAGGUGGUUUGAUAAGUUGGAUGUGAAAGCCCCGGGCUCAACCUGGGAAUUGCAUCCAAAACUGUCUGACUAGAGUACGGUAGAGGGUAGUGGAAUUUCCUGUGUAGCGGUGAAAUGCGUAGAUAUAGGAAGGAACACCAGUGGCGAAGGCGACUACCUGGACUGAUACUGACACUGAGGUGCGAAAGCGUGGGGAGCAAAC